AUACGUAGGGGACGAGCGUUGUCCGGAAUUACUGGGCGUAAAGGGCGCGCAGGCGGAUAUUUAAGUCAGCUGUAAAAGGCAUGAGCUCAACUCAUGUAUGCGGUUGAAACUGGGUAUCUAGAGUGCUGGAGAGGUAGGCGGAAUUCCCGGUGUAGCGGUGAAAUGCGUAGAUAUCGGGAAGAACACCAGUGGCGAAGGCGGCUUACUAGCCAGCAACUGACGCUGAGGCGCGAAAGCCAGGGGAGCGAACGGGGUUAGAUACCCCGGUAGUCCUGGCCGUAAACGAUGAAUGCUAGGUGUGGGUGUCGAGAGGCAUCCGUGCCGGAGUUAACGCGAUAAGCAUUCCGCCUGGGGAGUACGAUCGCAAGAUUGAAACUCAAAGGAAUUGACGGGG
rnacentral:rRNA from 1 species